rnacentral:rRNA from 1 species
GACGAACGCUGGCGGCGUGCUUAACACAUGCAAGUCGAACGGAAAGGCCCUGCUUUUGUGGGGUGCUCGAGUGGCGAACGGGUGAGUAACACGUGAGUAACCUGCCCUUGACUUUGGGAUAACUUCAGGAAACUGGGGCUAAUACCGGAUAGGAGCUCCUGCUGCAUGGUGGGGGUUGGAAAGUUUCGGCGGUUGGGGAUGGACUCGCGGCUUAUCAGCUUGUUGGUGGGGUAGUGGCUUACCAAGGCUUUGACGGGUAGCCGGCCUGAGAGGGUGACCGGCCACAUUGGGACUGCGAUACGGCCCAGACUCCUACGGGAGGCAGCAGUGGGGAAUCUUGCACAAUGGGCGGAAGCCUGAUGCAGCAACGCCGCGUGCGGGAUGACGGCCUUCGGGUUGUAAACCGCUUUCGCCUGUGACGAAGCGUGAGUGACGGUAAUGGGUAAAGAAGCACCGGCUAACUACGUG